rnacentral:tRNA from 1 species
UAUAGCUCAGUGGUAGAGCACUUGCCUAGUAGGUGUGCGGCCCUGGGUUCAAAUCCUAGUA